AGCGAGUCUGAAGAGUGCUUUGAGUAUUUGGUCGGAGACCCGAAACCAGGUGAUCUACCCUUGGUCAGGUUGAAGUUCAGGUAACACUGAAGGGAGGACCGAACCGACUUACGUUGAAAAGUGAGCGGAUGAACUGAGGGAAGCGGAGAAAUUCCAAUCGAACUUGGAGAUAGCGGGUUCUCUCCGAAAUAGCUUUAGGGCUAGCCUCAAGUGAUGAUUAUUGGGGGUAGAGCACUGUUUGGACGAGGGGCCCCUCUCGGGUUACCGAAUUCAGACAAACUCCGAAUGCCAAUUAAUUUAACUUGGGAGUCAGAACAUGGGUGAUAAGGUCCGUGUUCGAAAGGGAAACAGCCCAGACCACCAGCUAAGGUCCCAAAAUAUAUGUUAAGUGGAAAAGGAUGUGGCGUUGCCCAGACAACUAGGAUGUUGGCUUAGAAGCAGCCAUCAUUUAAAGAGUGCGUAAUAGCUCACUAGUCGAGUGACACUGCGCCGAAAAUGUAACGGGGCUAAACAUAUUACCGAAGCUGUGGAUUGUCCUUUGGACAAUGGUAGGAGAGCGUUCUAAGGGCGUCGAAGCAUGAUCGCAAGGACAUGUGGAGCGCUUAGAAGUGAGAAUGCCGGUGUGAGUAG
rnacentral:rRNA from 1 species